rnacentral:rRNA from 1 species
AGUGAACGCUGGCGGUAGGCCUAACACAUGCAAGUCGAACGGCAGCACAGUAAGAGCUUGCUCUUACGGGUGGCGAGUGGCGGACGGGUGAGGAAUACAUCGGAAUCUACUUUUUCGUGGGGGAUCACGUAGGGAAACUUACGCUAAUACAGCAUACGACCUACGGGUGAAAGCAGGGGAUCUUCGGACCUUGCGCGAAUGAAUGAGCCGAUGUCGGAUUAGCUAGUUGGCGGGGUAAAGGCCCACCAAGGCGACGAUCCGUAGCUGGUCUGAGAGGAUGAUCAGCCACACGGGAACUGAGACACGGUCCAGACUCCUACGGGAGGCAGCAGUGGGGAAUAUUGGACAAUGGGCGCAAGCCUGAUCCAGCCAGACCGCGUGGGUGAAGAAGGCCUUCGGGUUGUAAAGCCCUUUUGUUGGGAAAGAAAAGCAGCAGGUUAAUACCCCGCUGUUCUGACGGUACCCAAAGAAUAAGCACCGGCUAACUUCGUG